UUUCUCGGCCAUGGGGGCCUGCUUGCAAUACCAGUGGCAUGGCAGUCUUUUGGGUGGUUCUCUUCGUUCUGGAGGAGCACAAUCAUUUCUGAGGAACCUUGUGACCACCACUACAGCAAUACUGUGUUUGGCAAAGUAGAAGGCAUUUGCAAGCAACCAGUCAUUCCAAUUCUCAACCAAUCCUUCCUCUAGUCAGUCCAUUUCUAGUGUCUAGUCAUGUAAGUUCUUUUUUUCAG